rnacentral:lncRNA from 10 species
GGAGUAUUCAAGGACGCGCAAUGCUGGCAGGUCAUGAGUGCUCAGUGAAAGGCCCACUAGUCAGCAAGAUCAUAAUUAUACCUAAGCAUCCUGACCCUGAGUGCAUCUGUCAACGCUGCAAGCUGCAGUUGAGAAAGACAAGUCCAGGAGCCAAGGCCAAGCAGAUAACCGGAUUAUCUUACCUGCUUCUGCAUUCAAUCUAUUGUGAUAUGCUGUUUUGGCUGACACAGAUAUAGAAAACCUGGCCUCACACAGUUACGGAAUUGAAAAAGAGAAGAAUGUAAGAGCCAUUUCAGGUAAUUGUGAGUCUUCUCUGAUACUGCACCCACACUUAAAAAAGGUUAGUUGUAAUGUGGCAUCCGAAACCAUAUCAAUGAACUUCUCCAUAUUCUGUGACCUAAACUCCUCUGGUCCAGCUCCCAUUUUGUAGGCAUCUUUACCCAUGCCUGAUUUGUUACCACAACGCAUUAACCAUUCGAGAAAUACCAG